GACGAACGCUGGCGGCGUGCUUAACACAUGCAAGUCGAACGGAAAGGCCCUGCUUUUGUGGGGUGCUCGAGUGGCGAACGGGUGAGUAACACGUGAGUAACCUGCCCUUGACUUUGGGAUAACUUCAGGAAACUGGGGCUAAUACCGGAUAGGAGCUCCUGCUGCAUGGUGGGGGUUGGAAAGUUUCGGCGGUUGGGGAUGGACUCGCGGCUUAUCAGCUUGUUGGUGGGGUAGUGGCUUACCAAGGCUUUGACGGGUAGCCGGCCUGAGAGGGUGACCGGCCACAUUGGGACUGAGAUACGGCCCAGACUCCUACGGGAGGCAGCAGUGGGGAAUAUUGCACAAUGGGCGGAAGCCUGAUGCAGCAACGCCGCGUGCGGGAUGACGGCCUUCGGGUUGUAAACCGCUUUCGCCUGUGACGAAGCGUGAGUGACGGUAAUGGGUAAAGAAGCACCGGCUAACUACGUGCCAGCAGCCGCGGUGAUACGUAGGGUGCGAGCGUUGUCCGGAUUUAUUGGGCGUAAAGGGCUCGUAGGUGGUUGAUCGCGUCGGAAGUGUAAUCUUGGGGCUUAACCCUGAGCGUGCUUUCGAUACGGGUUGACUUGAGGAAGGUAGGGGAGAAUGGAAUUCCUGGUGGAGCGGUGGAAUGCGCAGAUAUCAGGAGGAACACCAGUGGCGAAGGCGGUUCUCUGGGCCUUUCCUGACGCUGAGGAGCGAAAGCGUGGGGAGCGAACAGGCUUAGAUACCCUGGUAGUCCACGCUGUAAACGGUGGGUACUAGGUGUGGGGUCCAUUCCACGGGUUCCGUGCCGUAGCUAACGCUUUAAGUACCCCGCCUGGGGAGUACGGCCGCAAGGCUAAAACUCAAAGGAAUUGACGGGGCCCCGCACAAGCGGCGGAGCAUGCGGAUUAAUUCGAUGCAACGCGUAGAACCUUACCUGGGUUUGACAUGGAUCGGGAGCGCUCAGAGAUGGGUGUGCCUCUUUUGGGGUCGGUUCACAGGUGGUGCAUGGCUGUCGUCAGCUCGUGUCGUGAGAUGUUGGGUUAAGUCCCGCAACGAGCGCAACCCUUGUUCACUGUUGCCAGCACGUUAUGGUGGGGACUCAGUGGAGACCGCCGGGGUCAACUCGGAGGAAGGUGGGGAUGACGUCAAGUCAUUAUGCCCCUUAUGUCCAGGGCUUCACGCAUGCUACAAUGGCUGGUACAGAGAGUGGCGAGCCUGUGAGGGUGAGCGAAUCUCGGAAAGCCGGUCUCAGUUCGGAUUGGGGUCUGCAACUCGACCUCAUGAAGUCGGAGUCGCUAGUAAUCGCAGAUCAGCAACGCUGCGGUGAAUACGUUCCCGGGGCU
rnacentral:rRNA from 1 species